UACGUAGGGUGCAAGCGUUGUCCGGAAUUAUUUGGGCGUAAAGAGCUCGUAGGCGGUCUGUCGCGUCGGCUGUGAAAACCCGAGGCUCAACCUCGGGCCUGCAGUCGAUACGGGCAAACUAGAGUACUGCAGGGGAGACUGGAAUUCCUGGUGUAGCGGUGGAAUGCGCAGAUAUCAGGAGGAACACCAAUGGCGAAGGCAGAUCUCUGGGCCGUAACUGACGCUGAGGAGCGAAAGCAUGGGGAGCGAACAGG
rnacentral:rRNA from 1 species